AGGCCAUGAUGGGGGCACUAUCUCUGCAUACAUUUAAAUCUGUCCCAGGCUUCAAAUAAUGAUUCUAAGUCUACCUGUUUGAAGCUUGCAAUCAGAUUUCUCAUAU